UACCAGCACCCCGAGUGGUCGGGACGUUUAUUGGGCCUAAAGCAUCCGUAGCCGGUUCUACAAGUCUUCCGUUAAAUCCGCCUGCUUAACAGAUGGGCUGCGGAAGAUACUAUAGAGCUAGGAGGCGGGAGAGGCAAGCGGUACUCGAUGGGUAGGGGUAAAAUCCGUUGAUCCAUUGAAGACCACCAGUGGCGAAGGCGGCUUGCCAGAACGCGCUCGACGGUGAGGAGCGAAAGCGUGGGGAGCGAACAGG
rnacentral:rRNA from 1 species